AUGACACCAUCUACCUCAACAAGAAACACUUUUAUUCUGCUGUUUUAUCUGUUUUUUACAUUUCUACACGUCAACGUUAUUGGUUAUAACGGACAAAAGUGCGAAAGUAAUUAUUACCAGAAAUCCACUCAGGAAAUCCAAAGAUGUGAACGCUGCAAUCAAGAGUGUUCUGAAAAGUCAUGUAACACAUGCAAAAAACGUCUCGCACUGCAUCCUCUAGUGGACACUAUGGGGAAUGAAACACCCACUAUGCUAUGCCUCAGUGCAUUGCCUGUCCACUUGAGGAUAAAAAUGAGAAGGAAGUUACUCCAUGCACUCAGACCAGCAAUAGAGUUUGCCUCUGUAAACCAGGUUUUUAUUGCACUAGUGGGAAACAAUUAUCAAACACACUGCCAUCAACCAUGUGUUCCCUGUGGAAAAGGCAUGUUUCGCAGCACACCAUCUCUGGAAGACUGCAGUCCUCAUACAGAUUGUGCUCGGUUGGGAAUGAUAAUGCUCAGAGAGGGCACAGCGACACAGGACAAUGAGUGUGGGAAUGCCACAACAGUGAAGCCAACCUCAUCCUCUACCAAAAAUAUCAUUACUACCACCACUUUCAAUAGCACGUCCAUUCCCAUGACAGAGGAUAAGAAGGAAGUUACUCCAUGCACUAGAGUUUGCAUCUGUAAACCAGGUUUUUAUUGCACUAGUGGAAUUAAUUUGGACACAAACUGCCAUAAACCAUGUGUUCCCUGUGGAAAAGGCACGUUCUCCAGCACAGCAUCUCUAGAAGCAUGCACUCCUCAUACUGAUUGUGCUCGGUUGGGAAUGAUAAUGCUCAGAGAGGGCACAGCGACACAGGACAAUGAGUGUGGGAAUACCACAACAGAGAAGCCAGCCUCGUCCUCUACCAAAAAUAUCAUUACUACCACCACUUUCAAUAGCACGUCCAUUCCCAUGACAGCAGGGGUCACUGUACAACUCAAAGACAAGGCAGAAGAGAUCCAGUCCCACUUGCUGCUGCUAUUAAUCUUAAUGUUGAUAAUCUUGUUCAUGGCUGGAUUCUGUAUCCUGAAGAAAAGCGUGGCAAAGAAAACCCUUUUAAAAUGGUUUGGUUUUAUAAACAGACAACGUGAAGAUUAUCCACCCCAGAGUCAAACUGAAUAUGACAAUCAAAUUUUGUCUAAUUCCCAAUUGGAGACUACAGUACCAGUCGGCAGUGCUGGCAGAGAGGUCAAAGGUCAGAGUACGGGGCCCAUGCCCCAAUCCGGAGCUGUGCAGCAGGUCACAAUGGAGCACAAUGGGAAGGGUGAGAACGUCAGCAAUACUGUUGGAUCCAUCUACAUCUACUCUCCUGGAAUGGUGAUUUUGGGCUCCAACUCGGGUGAUAAAAAGGAAGAGGCAGGACUUUGCGAAGAAGGCGUUCCCCUCAUCAGCAGACCGCAGCAAGAGUCAAAUCCACCCUCGCAAGAGAAUGGCCUUCAGGAAGAUACCAGGUUGAAUCACAAGGCUGAAAACACACAAGCUGCCAGUUUUAAGAUUCCCGGUAAAGGAUGGCAUCAGAAAGGCCCAAGUCAUGGUUUCAGUUCCAGAGAAACAUGCACACUGGCUAAAUGUACAGGCUACCUUGAUUGCAACGUAUGUCAAAUACAGAAUGUGCAGAUGUACCAGAUGGGAAUCAACAAGUAAUGAUUUUAGCUUUUUUUGCACAUCAAGAAAAAAGAUUUAUGCUUAAUUUAAGUCGGUCAAUUUUUAUAAAUGCACAUGUCGGUAUUGCCGCUUCAGCAAAACUGGGGCAAAAACAAGCAUGAAGACUGUGCACAGGAGGUACAGACAAAAGGGUGAGAACAACACCCACCACGAAGGUGUUAGGAGUUUUCAUAACGUGCAUCCUAUAAGACAGUAUAAAUGACACGCACAUGGCGUGUAUGAAUUGUUUUAUUGUUUUAAGUGAGUGGUCGAGAACCUAACGACUAGAUCUAUAUGUUUUUUAAACAGACUUUUGCUCUACUGUGUGGGUGUUUCAUAUGCAUGUCUGAAAAAUACCCAACCUCACCUUCGGAAAGAAGUGUCUGAUUUGACUGUUGUAGGAGGUCGUGUUGGGACAAGCUGUAUUCACCCUGCAACCUUUACAGAGCAUGAUCAAAAUGACAUUUCUAGUGUUGCAGUAGAAGACGCUUCUCACAUCUCACAUCCUCCAGACACUUGAGCUUGUGUUGUUUUGCAUGUUUUUUUUGUAAUUUGUCAAUGAAUGUGUUCUGAUGCUUUAUUAUUAUGAAUUCAAUAAAGUCCAUUCCUUCAGCAAUUACAGAAUGUCUCUCUCUCUAUCAUACUGUCUUUCUAUCAUUCUGUUGUUUUUUUCUACUGUUCUAUCAUUUAUUCUC
ensembl:lncRNA